rnacentral:lncRNA from 1 species
AAGAAAAAGAAAGUGUUAAUUUAUGAUGAAGUGAAAUUGGUAUGUCACAGCUUGAGUCCGGUUACUAUACUCUUAUGUGUAUAGAUUUUUUUGUGCUAAAAAAUUUUCGGCCGUUAGAACUACUUCGAUCAUUUUCACCCGUUAAAUUAUACUAUUUAACCAACCACCUACUCAAUCCUAAGCCCCCGUUUGGUUCGGGGUUAAGAAAAAGUAGCUAUUCCAGGGAUAAGGUUAAGUUCAGGGUUAAAAUGGUGUUAAAAUUUUUUUGUAUUUGGUUGGAGGUUGGAGUUAGUCUAGGAUAGUGAAAAAAAGUGUUUGGUUGGAGUAGGUGGGAUAAGAAGAUAAUGAUUGAUAAAGAAGAAAAAGGUGAGAGCUCAGGAUGUGUGCGGGGUUAAAGUUGGGAGGGGGGGUGGGGUUAAUGAUUGAUAAAGAAGAAAAAGGUGAGGGCUCGGGAUGCGUGCGGGAUUAAAGUUGAGAGGGAGAGUGGGGUUAGUAAAUCCCACUAAUCCGGUUUGGGGUGGGGUUUACUAACCCCACCCCAAAAGAGUGGUGUUUGGGUAUAAAUUGGGGGUUAAGGGGUUAUUCCACCCCUUAACCCCCAACCAAACGGUGGCUAAGAGUGGUGUUUGGGUAUAAAUUGGGGGUUAAGGGGUUAUUCCACCCCUUAACCCCCAACCAAACGCUGGCUAAGAGACCAUUAUUAUUCUAACCGGGGACCAUUAUCAUCCUAAUUGCGCAUCUCUUCAUCCAACGGUCAAAAACUUACGAGUACAAAAGGGUCUAUACUCAUAAGAGUAUAGUAAUUGUAGCCGUCACAGCAUUAUGAAAAUAUGAAACAUCUUUAUCUAACCAUAUCACAAGAAUGAGAGAAAACAUGAAGUUUUGCAACAGUAAAAUUUCUAAUAUUAAAGUCUCAUUUCGCGUGGUUGUAUAUUUUUUUUAGGGGCAAUAGCUUUUAUAUUUCUGAAAAGUUUUCUUUUUUCUGAUUUAUCUUUCUUAAAAGGCUAAUAUUGAAAAUAUUUUUUUUACAUUCCAACAUAUUUGAGAAAUACCCUUAUAAUUAAAUUCUAUUAACGAACGGUUAGCAAUAAUUGUUAUCUCUAUAAAAUUACUAUUUUACCUUUUCCAAUUUAUCCUUCUACCAUCACCGACUUUUCUUAUUUGUCCUUAUUAAGUUAAGGGCACAAUAAAUAUUUUGAUUUUUGAUCUUUUUAAAUAUACCGUUCUACCAUCAGCAAUAUUUCUUUUACCCUUAAGUAUUUUGAUUUUUUUAAUUCUGAUAAAUAUUUAACUAUAUGUUUAAUCCAAGUUAACUUAACGGAUAAUAACUGCAAAGGUACUUUGGAAUAACGGAGAAACAUAUGAGGGUUAUAUUAGAAAGAAAAAAAAAAAAGUAAAUAAGAUAUUUU